CCUACGGGAGGCAGCAGUGGGGAAUUUUGGACAAUGGACGCAAGUCUGAUCCAGCCAUGCCGCGUGUGGGAAGAAGGCCUUCGGGUUGUAAACCACUUUUGUCAGGGAAGAAACGGCUCGGGUUAAUACCUUGGGCUAAUGACGGUACCUGAAGAAUAAGCACCGGCUAACUACGUGCCAGCAGCCGCGGUAAUACGUAGGGUGCAAGCGUUAAUCGGAAUUACUGGGCGUAAAGCGUGCGCAGGCGGUUAUGCAAGACAGAUGUGAAAUCCCCGGGCUCAACCUGGGAACUGCAUUUGUGACUGCAUGGCUAGAGUACGGUAGAGGGGGAUGGAAUUCCGCGUGUAGCAGUGAAAUGCGUAGAUAUGCGGAGGAACACCGAUGGCGAAGGCAAUCCCCUGGACCUGUACUGACGCUCAUGCACGAAAGCGUGGGGAGCAAACAGGAUUAGAUACCCUGGUAGUCCACGCCCUAAACGAUGUCAACUGGUUGUUGGGAGGGUUUCUUCUCAGUAACGUAGCUAACGCGUGAAGUUGACCGCCUGGGGGAGGACGGCGCGAGUAGAAGUAAAGUAAAGUAGUAGCGNGNGAGNGCGACGACGACGACGAGGAGGAGG
rnacentral:rRNA from 1 species